rnacentral:rRNA from 1 species
UUUGGUUAAGUUAGAAAGGGCGCACGGUGGAUGCCUUGACACUAGGAGUCGAUGAAGGACGGGACUAACGCCGAUAUGCUUCGGGGAGCUGUAAGUAAGCUUUGAUCCGAAGAUUUCCGAAUGGGGAAACCCACCAUACGUAAUGGUAUGGUAUCCUUAUCUGAAUACAUAGGGUAAGGAAGACAGACCCAGGGAACUGAAACAUCUAAGUACCUGGAGGAAGAGAAAGCAAAUGCGAUUUCCUGAGUAGCGGCGAGCGAAACGGAACAUAGCCCAAACCAAGAGGCUUGCCUCUUGGGGUUGUAGGACAUUCUAUACGGAGUUACAAAAGAACGAGGUAGACGAAGCGACCUGGAAAGGUCCGUCGUAGAGGGUAACAACCCCGUAGUCGAAACUUCGUUCUCUCUUGAAUGUAUCCUGAGUACGGCGGAACACGUGAAAUUCCGUCGGAAUCUGGGAGGACCAUCUCCCAAGGCUAAAUACUCCCUAGUGAUCGAUAGUGAACCAGUACCGUGAGGGAAAGGUGAAAAGCACCCCGGAAGGGGAGUGAAAGAGAUCCUGAAACCGUGUGCCUACAAAUAGUCAGAGCCCGUUAACGGGUGAUGGCGUGCCUUUUGUAGAAUGAACCGGCGAGUUACGAUCCCGUGCGAGGUUAAGCUGAAGAGGCGGAGCCGCAGCGAAAGCGAGUCUGAAUAGGGCGUUUAGUACGUGGUCGUAGACCCGAAACCAGGUGAUCUACCCAUGUCCAGGGUGAAGUUCAGGUAACACUGAAUGGAGGCCCGAACCCACGCACGUUGAAAAGUGCGGGGAUGAGGUGUGGGUAGCGGAGAAAUUCCAAUCGAACCUGGAGAUAGCUGGUUCUCCCCGAAAUAGCUUUAGGGCUAGCCUUAAGUGUAAGAGUCUUGGAGGUAGAGCACUGAUUGGACUAGGGGUCCUCAUCGGAUUACCGAAUUCAGUCAAACUCCGAAUGCCAAUGACUUAUCCUUAGGAGUCAGACUGCGAGUGAUAAGAUCCGUAGUCAAAAGGGAAACAGCCCAGACCGCCAGCUAAGGUCCCAAAGUGUGUAUUAAGUGGAAAAGGAUGUGGAGUUGCUUAGACAACUAGGAUGUUGGCUUAGAAGCAGCCACCAUUUAAAGAGUGCGUAAUAGCUCACUAGUCGAGUGACUCUGCGCCGAAAAUGUACCGGGGCUAAAUACACCACCGAAGCUGCGGAUUGAUACCAAUGGUAUCAGUGGUAGGGGAGCGUUCUAAGGACAGUGAAGUCAGACCGGAAGGACUGGUGGAGUGCUUAGAAGUGAGAAUGCCGGUAUGAGUAGCGAAAGACGGGUGAGAAUCCCGUCCACCGAAUGCCUAAGGUUUCCUGAGGAAGGCUCGUCCGCUCAGGGUUAGUCAGGACCUAAGCCGAGGCCGACAGGCGUAGGCGAUGGACAACAGGUUGAUAUUCCUGUACCACCUCUUUAUCGUUUGAGCAAUGGAGGGACGCAGAAGGAUAGAAGAAGCGUGCGAUUGGUUGUGCACGUCCAAGCAGUUAGGCUGAUAAGUAGGCAAAUCCGCUUAUCGUGAAGGCUGAGCUGUGAUGGGGAAGCUCCUUAUGGAGCGAAGUCUUUGAUUCCCCGCUGCCAAGAAAAGCUUCUAGCGAGAUAAAAGGUGCCUGUACCGCAAACCGACACAGGUAGGCGAGGAGAGAAUCCUAAGGUGUGCGAGAGAACUCUGGUUAAGGAACUCGGCAAAAUGACCCCGUAACUUCGGGAGAAGGGGUGCUUUCUUAACGGAAAGCCGCAGUGAAUAGGCCCAAGCGACUGUUUAGCAAAAACACAGCUCUCUGCGAAGCCGUAAGGCGAAGUAUAGGGGGUGACACCUGCCCGGUGCUGGAAGGUUAAGGAGAGGGGUUAGCGUAAGCGAAGCUCUGAACUGAAGCCCCAGUAAACGGCGGCCGUAACUAUAACGGUCCUAAGGUAGCGAAAUUCCUUGUCGGGUAAGUUCCGACCCGCACGAAAGGUGUAACGAUUUGGGCACUGUCUCAACCAGAGACUCGGUGAAAUUAUAGUACCUGUGAAGAUGCAGGUUACCCGCGACAGGACGGAAAGACCCCGUGGAGCUUUACUGUAGCCUGAUAUUGAAUUUUGGUACAGUUUGUACAGGAUAGGCGGGAGCCAUUGAAACCGGAGCGCUAGCUUCGGUGGAGGCGCUGGUGGGAUACCGCCCUGACUGUAUUGAAAUUCUAACCUACGGGUCUUAUCGACCCGGGAGACAGUGUCAGGUGGGCAGUUUGACUGGGGCGGUCGCCUCCUAAAGUGUAACGGAGGCGCCCAAAGGUUCCCUCAGAAUGGUUGGAAAUCAUUCGUAGAGUGCAAAGGCAUAAGGGAGCUUGACUGCGAGACCUACAAGUCGAGCAGGGACGAAAGUCGGGCUUAGUGAUCCGGUGGUUCCGCAUGGAAGGGCCAUCGCUCAACGGAUAAAAGCUACCCCGGGGAUAACAGGCUUAUCUCCCCCAAGAGUCCACAUCGACGGGGAGGUUUGGCACCUCGAUGUCGGCUCAUCGCAUCCUGGGGCUGUAGUCGGUCCCAAGGGUUGGGCUGUUCGCCCAUUAAAGCGGUACGCGAGCUGGGUUCAGAACGUCGUGAGACAGUUCGGUCCCUAUCCGUCGUGGGCGUAGGAAAUUUGAGAGGAGCUGUCCUUAGUACGAGAGGACCGGGAUGGACGCACCGCUGGUGUACCAGUUGUUCUGCCAAGGGCAUAGCUGGGUAGCUAUGUGCGGAAGGGAUAAGUGCUGAAAGCAUCUAAGCAUGAAGCCCCCCUCAAGAUGAGAUUUCCCAUAGCGUAAGCUAGUAAGAUCCCUGAAAGAUGAUCAGGUUGAUAGGUUCGAGGUGGAAGCAUGGUGACAUGUGGAGCUGACGAAUACUAAUAGAUCGAGGACUUAACCAUAUAA